rnacentral:rRNA from 1 species
CCAUGGGCAUACUUAGUACGGCGAGUGAGCGGUAAAAGCUCAAAUUUGAAAUCUGGUACUUUCAGUGCCCGAGUUGUAAUUUGUAGAAUUUGUCUUUGAUUAGGUCCUUGUCUAUGUUCCUUGGAACAGGACGUCAUAGAGGGUGAGAAUCCCGUUUGGCGAGGAUACCUUUUCUCUGUAAGACUUUUUCGAAGAGUCGAGUUGUUUGGGAAUGCAGCUCAAAGUGGGUGGUAAAUUCCAUCUAAAGCUAAAUAUUGGCGAGAGACCGAUAGCGAACAAGUACAGUGAUGGAAAGAUGAAAAGAACUUUGAAAAGAGAGUGAAAAAGUACGUGAAAUUGUUGAAAGGGAAGGGCAUUUGAUCAGACAUGGUGUUUUUUGCAUGCACUCGCCUCUCGUGGGCUUGGGCCUCUCAAAAAUUUCACUGGGCCAACAUCAAUUCUGGCAGCAGGAUAAAUCAUUAAGAAUGUAGCUACUUCGGUAGUGUUAUAGCUUUUUGGAAUACUGUUAGCCGGGAUUGAGGACUGCGCUUCGGCAAGGAUGUUGGCAUAAUGGUUAAAUGCCGCCCGUCUUGAACCCACGGACCA